rnacentral:sRNA from 1 species
GGAUGCAAAAGUCGUAACACGGUUUCCGUAGGUGAACCUGCGGAAGGAUCAUUCACACAUUGCGUCUCAAAGCUGCUUCAUCAGACAGUGACUCAAUUUUUGGGGCUUGGAUGAUGUUUGCUGCUGCGAGGGAACGCUUAAUUGAACCUUAUCAUCUACCAAUCUUUGAAUCUGUUUUGUUUUCCCACCACGACGCAUUUUUGUGAAGAAAAAAAGAGGAAAAAACCUGACUGUGCAAGCAUCAUUGCCACCUUUUGAAGGGUUGGGAUGAUGAUGCAUGCACGGGAGGGGGAGGGGCGGCGCAUGCACCGCUUGGGGCUUUUUGGGGCUUUGGGGCUGUGGUUGUGGGGCUUGCAUGCUACAUGUGACCCUGGCACUGCUGUCUAUGAUGAGCACCCAUAGCGCCAGCGUGUGUUAUUGCGUUCGUUGCCUUGUAUUUUAUAUUUAAAAAAAAACAAAACUUUCAGCAAUGGAUGUCUUGGCUCACGCAUCGAUGAAGGACGCAGCGAAAUGCGAUACGCAUUGUGAAUUGCAGAUUUUAGUGAACCAUCAGAUUUCUGAACGCAUAUGGCGCCGCUGGGAUUUCCCGGCAGCACGUCUGUUUCAGUGUCUUUUGACUCAUUCAAAAAUUAUACUACCAAAGCAUGCUAUUCCUUUGCACAACACUGUUGUGUUUUGUGAGUAGGCUGCUUCUGGUGGUGUCGUCUGCGCGUCGAUGGUAGUGUAUAUCAGCGUCGCGUGAAAUUCCUAAUAUAUUUCAACAAUUGUUGUUGGCUAUAUAAGCAGUCGUUUUGCGUUAUCCUUUCGUUAACGAAAGAGAUAAGGUGGUUUAUGAUAACUCACUAAUAUCUCGUACAUGGGUAGCGUUGUAUCGGUUGCUGCUGACAAUACUUAUAUCUUUAGACCUGAAAUCAGUCGAGGUUACCCGCUGAAUUUAAGCAUAUUAUUAAGCGGAGGA